CCUACGGGAGGCAGCAGUGGGGAAUAUUGCACAAUGGGGGAAACCCUGAUGCAGCGACGCCGCGUGAGUGAAGAAGUAUUUCGGUAUGUAAAGCUCUAUCAGCAGGGAAGAAGAAAGACGGUACCUGACUAAGAAGCCCCGGCUAACUACGUGCCAGCAGCCGCGGUAAUACGUAGGGGGCAAGCGUUAUCCGGAUUUACUGGGUGUAAAGGGAGCGUAGACGGCUGUGCAAGUCUGAAGUGAAAGCCCAGGGCUCAACCCUGGGACUGCUUUGGAAACUGUGGAGCUAGAGUGCUGGAGAGGUAAGUGGAAUUCCUAGUGGAGCGGUGAAAUGCGUAGAUAUUAGGAGGAACACCAGAGGCGAAGGCGACUUACUGGACAGUAACUGACGUUGAGGCUCGAAAGCGUGGGGAGCAAACAGGAUUAGAUACCCUGGUAGUC
rnacentral:rRNA from 1 species